CAGCCGCCGCGGGAAUACGUAGGGUGCGGGCGUUAAUCGGAAUUACUGGGCGUAAAGCGGGCGCAGACGGUUACUUAAGCAGGAUGUGAAAUCCCCGGGCUCAACCUGGGAAUUGCGUUCUGAACUGGGUGGCUAGAGUGUGUCAGAGGGGGGUAGAAUUCCACGUGUAGCAGUGAAAUGCGUAGAGAUGUGGAGGAAUACCGAUGGCGAAGGCAGCCCCCUGGGAUAGCACUGACGUUCAUGCCCGAAAGCGUGGGUAGCAAACAGGAUUAGAUACCCGGGUAGUCCCUGUCUCUUAUAA
rnacentral:rRNA from 1 species